GUGAGUAAUGCAUCGGAACGUGCCCAGUCGUGGGGGAUAAAGCAGCGAAAGCUGUGCUAAUACCGCAUACGAUCUAUGGAUGAAAGCGGGGGACCGUAAGGCCUCGCGCGAUUGGAGCGGCCGAUGUCAGAUUAGGUAGUUGGUGGGGUAAAGGCUCACCAAGCCAAUGAUCUGUAGCUGGUCUGAGAGGACGACCAGCCACACUGGGACUGAGACACGGCCCAGACUCCUACGGGAGGCAGCAGUGGGGAAUUUUGGACAAUGGGCGCAAGCCUGAUCCAGCAAGGGCGCGUGCAGGAAGAAGGCCUUCGGGUUGUAAAUUAAAAGGGUACGGAACGAAACAGGUUUGGGUUAAUACCCUGGGCCGAUGACGGUACCGUAAGAAU
rnacentral:rRNA from 1 species